rnacentral:rRNA from 1 species
UACGGAGGAUCCAAGCGUUAUCCGGAUUUAUUGGGUUUAAAGGGUGCUCAGGCGGGCCAUUAAGUCGGCGGUGAAAUUUUGCAGCUCAACUGUAAAAGUGCCAUCGAUACUGGUUUUCUUGAGUGUGGAUGAAGUAGGCGGAAUUUGUGGUGUAGCGGUGAAAUGCAUAGAUAUCACGAGGAACUCCGAUUGCGCAGGCAGCUUACUAAACUACUACUGACGCUCAGGCACGAAGGCGUGGGGAUCAAACAGGAUUAGAUACCCGGGUAGU